CUCAGCAGCAGCAGCAGCAGCAGCGACCGUGCGCGCCCGGGCUGCGGCCGCAGCAGCGCUAACGUGAGCGCCCGCCGCCGCCCUCACCACCCCGCCUGCCUACUCCCGCUGCCGCCGGGCUCUCGCUUUCUCCCCGGCCUCCCCUCGACCCUUCCCCUCCCCCUCCUCGGCACACUCGGGGGGCUGGGAACGAGCUGCCAUGUGAUGCGCGUCCUCUCCGCGAGCUUUCGGUGACCCCCGAACCGCCCACCGCGCCGGCUGCCGGGAGGGGGCUGCGGGCUGGGACGACGCGGGGAAGAGGAGGCGGAAAAGGACGCAAAGUUCUCUGGCGAGUGCAGCUGUCUGCUUUGGGAAGUGAGGUGUACAGGAAUGAGGAGAAUCUUCAAGAGCUGCCUCGCGUUGUGACAUGUCUGAUCCCUUGCUCCAGUCCCUGCAGCAUGAACAAGGUAAGAGGUACUUUAGGGAAUCAGCCUUUUCGUCUUCUUUAUGGUAAUAUGAGUUUUCAUCGGUAUGUAGUAUCUUUCCAUGGUGUGAGGAGGUUCCUUGUCCUGUCAGAAGCGUUCCAGAGGUUGGAGAGUUGUGUGACUGCAGUGAGCAGUGUUUACAGGCACGUUCACAGGAGCUGAUGGCUACUCUACGGUUGUAUAGUCUUCCAGAGUUGUCACUUGUGUUUGUCAGAGGCCUCUGAGCAGCUGACAUACUGGUUGUUAGUAUAACUGCGUUGGCACGAAUGUUAGAUGAUUUAGGCUCUGGAGCCAGACUGCCUGGGUUUAAAUAUCAGCUCUUCCAGAUGCUUGCUUUGAUGGCCUUGGGCAAGUGGCUUAACUUUUCUGUAAGAUGCUGGUUAUAAUGGUACCUCGACACUUCAUAGGGUUGUUGUAAGGAUAAGUGAGUUGAUAUGUGCACCAGUACUUAACAUAGUGCCUGUCCACAUUAUAAGCAUUUGUUAAUGUUUGCUAUUUUUGUUUUUGAUGUUGGGGACACAGUUGUCCCUUAGACAUUGUUGCAAGAGAGUCUUAAGUGCAUCUGCAACAUUUCUGUUUGUUCCCUCAUUGAUUUAGCAGGCCCCAGUUGGCUACCAGAUGGACGCUCUGGAGCCUUCAUGUACAUCUGGAGAUAUACAAUGAAUGAGGCUUGGGUCUUGCCUUCAGCAGGUAACAGACAAUUCUGGGGCCACAUGGCUAGUGUUCUAACAAAGUGUGCUAAGUUUGGCACACUCUGCUUUGGCAGCCCAGGUUUGGUUCCUGGGCGCUGACCUACACCACUCGUCAGUAGCCAUGCUAUGGUGGCAGCUCACAUACAAAAAAAAGACGAAGCUUGGCAACAGAUAUUAGCUCAGGGAGAAUCUUCCUCAACAAAAUGAGGAAGAUUGGCAACAGAUGUUAGCUCAGGGCAAAUCUUCCUCAGCAAAAAAAAAAGGGGGGGGGGAGAAGGAGGAGGAGAAGUCUCCAAUUCUAGGGGAUCUGGAAACAACAAUAUAGAGGAGGCAACAUUUUGAGUUGUAUCCUGGAUGAUAAAUGGUAAUUUCUUGGAUGCAGAAGUAGGGCAAGGCAUUCCAGGUAAAGGACACAGCCUAUGUUUAGACACAAAAGCAUGUGAGAAAGUCUGGCAUAUUUAGAGAACAAC
rnacentral:lncRNA from 1 species